CACCCCGGUGAAUACGUUCCCGGGCCUUGUACACACCGCCCGUCACGCCAUGAAAGCUGGGAGUACCCGAAGUCGCCUUAUAAGCGCCGAAGGUAAAACCAGUGAUUGGGGCGAAGUCGUAACAAGGUACCC
rnacentral:rRNA from 1 species